GCGUCGGUGGUAUAACGGUUAGCAUAGCUGCCUUCCAAGCAGUUGACCCGGGUUCGACUCCCGGCCAACGCA
rnacentral:tRNA from 1 species